UAGGGAAUCUUCGGCAAUGGACGAAAGUCUGACCGAGCAACGCCGCGUGAGUGAAGAAGGUUUUCGGAUCGUAAAACUCUGUUGGUAGAGAAGAACGUUGGUGAGAGUGGAAAGCUCAUCAAGUGACGGUAACUACCCAGAAAGGGACGGCUAACUACGUGCCAGCAGCCGCGGUAAUACGUAGGUCCCGAGCGUUGUCCGGAUUUAUUGGGCGUAAAGCGAGCGCAGGUGGUUUAUUAAGUCUGGUGUAAAAGGCAGUGGCUCAACCAUUGUAUGC
rnacentral:rRNA from 1 species